AUCUUGGCUCUUUCGCGUCGGACUCUAACCGAGACUGACCUAAAAAGAGAACUCAUCAUCAGACGUCUAAACAGCGCGUUUCCUUCUUUAAUCUGCUCCUGAUGAAAGUAGAUAUCGGAAACAUGUGAUCAUCAACUCAAACUUUGUCUUAUCAACUAUGAAGAUCACCAAAGAAAGCUUCAGAACUUCUCUCUCCCUCACCGGAGACUUCUGACCUCAGGAAGCGCGCACAACUUCCUCGAGCCUCCAACUUCAGACAGGAGACAAACUUCCUCUGCAUGUAUCGUACCACAAGCAUUGACCUGAUUGUCCAGGGAAACAAGUAUGGCAGGUUCACCCUCAUACUGGACACUGAAGCGAAAAUCCAAGGCACGCGUUAAUCAGCAACUGGCGUCCAUUCAUUGUAGAUUGGCUUCUAGCAGCAUUGCUGAGGAUGAAGAAAUGGCAGAAGAUGUCCCUGACAUUCCCGUUGAUGUUUGUGAAUUGGAGGAUGGCUUCUCUGACAAGGACAUCUCUAUGGAGAUAGAGGAGGUUGAUUCUGAUGGCAGUAGCUGGGACAAUGGAGACGGUGCAGCAUGUACUUGAUUGUUGUGUUUGAGGACGACAACCAAACCUGCCCGGUGGCCAAGGAAUGGUUUUCAGGUGGCCUGGCAUGGUGGCCGCCAUAUAAGGACCAAUUUCAGAUCCUAAGAGCAGUUCAGAAGAGGGUCAUGCCAGACCCAGCAAAAGGGUGGAGGCAGUUCCAUGCUCGUGUACUGUAUGAAUCAGGUAAUAAAGCAUCCAAAAGACUGUUACAUCUCAAUGCUAAAACUCAACCGCAUAAAGUUCAAUUUUUAUAGAUAUCCAAAUAUCUGUAAACAGCACCUCAGUGGAAUUGUGUAUCCAGUCAUUGUAAAAAGCCUUUUAGUCAGAGGUGACGCUUGAGAAAAUGAUGACAGAGACAGUAAUUUUGUUAAAUGUUAGGGUUUUUUUUUUGCUCUGGUAUAGGCUUAUAGUUCACAGACUCCAUUCAAACUAUCCAGUCCAUGUGGGACAAAGCAUGCAUCACGUCAGACUUAAAUACAGAUGUUCAAGAUCAAGAUAUAUUUAUUUGUCCCGAAGGAAAUUUGUCUUGGACAAACACAUAGCUGCCACAGAACAUCCAACACGACAUUGACAAUUUCAUACGAAUGAUGACAAUACACAUAAAGAUACAUAAAAUACAUAAAGUGCACUACCUAAAGUGCAAACCCAAGGUGCAUCCAACGUGCCUCUCCAAACUUACAUACACACAUGCACACACACACAUGCACGCACACAUGCACACACACACACCAUUACAGGACAGCAACACCAGUUAACGGCCUGAGUUCAGAAGAUUCACCGAUAUUGGAAUGAAAGAAAAUUUGUACCUAUUCAAAAACCUUUUUCUACUUUUAACUGGGACUCUGUAUCGUCUGCCAGAGGGCAACAGCUCAAACUCUGAGUGUAAUACGUGAGAGGGAUCUUCAAUUAUUUUUCCUGCCAAUUUGAGUACAGACUCCUCAUAUAUUUCUUGAGUGGUGGGGUGCUCCCUCACCCCCACCACCUUGAGUGCUGAGCGAGUCAGUCUAUUAAUUUGGGACUUUAGUUCUACAGUUAAAUUCCCAAACCAAACAGUAAUUCCAUAGCGUAGUACACUCUCAACAACUGCACGAUAAAAAAGUAACAAUAUUCUCUGUUGUACACCAAACACCCUUAGCCUACAUAGAAAGUGUAGUCUCUGUUCAAUCCUAGCACACACAUUUUUAACAUGAACACUCCAGGACAAAUUAUUGUCAAUAUAAACACCCAAAUAUUUGUAACAAUCAACCUGAGCAAUAGUGGUAUCACUGAUGAGUAGUGGAGUAUGGUCCCCCACAUGGCCCGGGUCAAAGACCAUUUCUUCAGUCUUUUUGGCAUUUACAGUGAGGUGGUGGUCCUCACACCACUGCACGAACCGAUGUACCUCUUGUUUAUAAACAGAGGUAUUUGAAUCCUUCUCUAACAAACCCAGGAUGGCAGUAUCAUCAGAAAACUUAACAAAUGAAACAGUAGGGUGGCUGCUUAUGCAGUCGUUUGUGUAUGCUGUAAACAAUGGGGGGGAACUCACGCAGCCUUGAGGAACUCCCGUGCUUAUUGUUUUUAACUGAGACAUUGUCUGGUUCACUCUGACUUGUUGUGUCCUAUUUGUUAGAAAGGAGUGGUACCACCUGAUAAUAUAUGGGUUAACAGACAUUUGCUUGAGUUUACUCAGAAGGAUGUGUGGCUGCACAGUGUUAAACGCAGAGCUGAAAUCAACAAACAAUAAUCUGGCAUAAGCCUUAGGGUUUUCAAGAUGUUGCAGAAUAGAGUGUGUUAUGGUCAAAAUUGCAUCAUCUGUGCCACGGUUGUCUCUAUAGGCAAAUUGAUAUGGAUCUAGGCAGCCUUGUAAGUUUGAUUUCAGCUUCCCCACCAAAAACUUCUCAAAACUCUUAACAACAAUAGAGGUCAAGGCUACUGGUCUGUAAUCAUUGUUUUCCUGAGGGACUGCUUUUUUGGGAAGAGGGAUGAUAGUCGCCCUCUUCCACAGAGAUGGAACCAUAUGUGAGUCCACUGAUCUUUGAUAAACAGGAGCCCAAGCUGACGUCAGUUCUUCUGCAAAUGUUUUUAAAAGAAAAGAUGAGAUGCCAUCUGGGCCAGCUGCUUUGUUUGUAUCUAAUUUUUUGAACAUUUUUGUAACGGCUGUGUAGUCUAUGUCUAUUUUUGGGGCUCCAACCCCUGAUAAUAAAGUGCUGAAAAAUGUUGAAAUGCAGGAGAAUCCAGUUAGAGAACAUAAAAGGUGAGCCCAUUUCUUUGAUUUAAAUUAAAUUAGAUAUUGUCUGUAUAUCAAAUACUUGUAUGUGAAGAAAGUGCUAAUUUUUGUAAAUGUAUAGACCAAGACGGCUCAGAGAGUCGUCAUCAUCAUCAUCAUCAUCAUCACUAUCUGAGGAGGAAGAUGAUCCUGAACACCUAAGAAGACCUCCCCCUUUACCUUUGAAAAUUGCAAGACCAAGAGAAGAGCCAACUUACACUGAACUCUCAACAGUAACUUACCUCAGUGAUAUGGAGGCUGAAGGACCACUGCACCACACUGAUCAACAGCAAACCUGCCUGACUGAAAUCCCUCGGCGUCCCCAAACCUGUCUGACUGAAAUCCCCCGGCGUCCCCAAACCUGCCUGACUGAAAUCCCCCGGUGUCCCCAAACCCGCCUUUCUCAAACCCACCAGCUACCUGUACUGUUGUCGAAAGAUUGAUUUUGGAGCACCAAGGGGAGCUGCACCUCAAGGUUGAUCACAUCAUGGCCCUUCUUCAACAACUUUUGCAAAACCGUGAUGUAGAGAGGGGUGAAGAACAACGGCAAGAAUACGACCAGAAAAUUCCCUUAACCUCAGCACAAGACCUUGACGAUUUCGAUGAGCUACUAGACAGUGACUCAAAUUUUAAGAAAUACAUGAUCUCCAAGUUGGGUGUCACUGGCGGAACCACUGUAAAAAAGAUGGUUUGGAGGAUAUGCCAAAAAGUGUUCUCAAACCAACUUGCCACACAACUAAAUUGGUGUGGGAGAGGAAAUAAAACCAGUAUUAAAUCCAGAUCUGUAGCUGAAAUGCUAAUAUCAUCAGUGCGCAAAAACAAUAACAGUGUCACCAAGUCGGAUGUGGAGAAGGAGGUAAAAAACUGGCUCCAAUUGAGCGGGGACCGGUUGGAUGGCUGCCGUCGACAGCGGAGGACCCAAACAACUAGAAGAGAGGAGAGAGGGCUGCCAGCUUGCAGUGACUGAGGAUGGACAGAGGCUUUCUAUACAUCAGUGUUUGUUUAAGUUAGAGGCCUGUGUGUUUCUUGUCUCUGUGUCCAUGGCUGUUUAAGUUAGAGGCCUGUGUGUUUACUGUCUCUGUGUCCAUGGCCGUUUAAGUUAGAGGCCUGUGUGUUUACUGUCUCUGUGUCCAUGGCCGUUUAAGUUAGAGGCCUGUGUUUGUGUUUGUUUACUGUCUCUAUGUCUAUGGCCGUUUAAGUUAGAGGCCUGUGUGUGUGUGUACACUGUGUCCAUAGCCAUUUAAGUUACGGAGCUGUGUGUGUGUGUGUGUGUGUGUGUGUACACUGUCUGUGUGAGUGGCUGUUUAAGUUAGAAGCCUGUGUGUGUCCACUGUCUGCGUCCAUGGCCGUUUUAGUUAGAGGCCUGUGUGUGUGUGUGUGUGUGUCCUGUCUGUGUCAGUGGCCAUUUACAGUGAGUAAUGGCCCUUUUCCACUACCUUUUUUCAGCUCACUUCAGCCCGACACGGCUCGCGUUUCGACUACCUCAGAACAGCAUGACUCAGCUCGCUUCAGCCCUGCUUAGCACCCAAAACUCGCACGGUUUUGGAGUAGGGCUGAAGCGAGCCAAACCGAGCCGAGUGGGGCUAGGGGCAUGGGGAGACACUCCCCUGUGCACUGAUUGGUGAGGAGGAGUGUCCUCACAUGCCCACACAUGCCCCGCGAGCACGCUGGGAUCUGUAAACACCGUAAACCCGGAAGAAGAAGAAUUACGAAUUAUGAGAAUUUCUGAAGCCUUAUGCGCCGCGCCUCAUCUAUACGCUCUUGCCAGUAUCUGUUGGCGUUGUCGGUGACAACAAGCCACAGCACCAAGACCAGCAACACUAACGACUCCAUGUCCUCCAUGUUUAUUGUUUACUAUCUGGGUUGUGAUACUACCGCUUAAAAGGUCACUGAUGUCACUGUUUGCGCUGCCUAAGGACAUCACGUGACGUCCACCCACUUUCGCUAACUCCACCCAAUGUGUCCACCCACUUCCAGCCAGCACGGUUCAGCGCGGUUGUAGUCGAAAUACAACUCCAACAGCCCCGCUCAGCUCGACUCAGCCCAACUCAGCACGGCACGGCUCAGCCCAAGUCAGCCGCGUUGGUAGUGGAAAAGCGGCAUUAGAGGCCUGUGUGUGUACACCGUCUGCGUCCGUGGCCGUUUUAGUUAGAGGCGUGUGUGUGUGUGUGUGUGUGUGUGUGUCCUGUCUGUGUCAGUGGCAGUUAGAGGCCUGUGUGGGCACAUUGUCUACGUUCAUGGCCGUUUUAGUUAGAGGCCUGUGUGUGUCUGUACAUCGUCUACGUCCAUGGCCGUUUUAGUUAGAGGCCUGUGUGUGUGUGUGUGUGUGUGUGUGUGUGUGUGUGUGUGUGUGUGUGUGUGUGUGUGCGCGUCCUGUCUGUGUCAGUGGCCAUUUACAGUAAGUUAGAGGCCUGUGUGUGUACACUGUCUAUGUGCUCAUCGCCAUUUACAGUGGUGCUUGAAAG